UAUGGCCAUGCCGCAUUGAAACACCAGUUCUCAUAUGAUUACUGAAGUUAAGCAAUGUUGUGCCUGGUCAGUACCUGAAUGGAUGACCACCUGGGAAUACCAGGUGCUGUCAG